GGCCUCGUGGUGUACUUGGUUCGCAUAUCCCAUCGUUAGUAUUCAUUCUAAACUCUUUGAGGGAAGAUACAGGUUCAAAUCCUGUCGGGGCCC
rnacentral:tRNA from 1 species